rnacentral:rRNA from 1 species
UGGGGAAUUUUGGACAAUGGGCGAAAGCCUGAUCCAGCAAUGCCGCGUGUGUGAAGAAGGCCUUCGGGUUGUAAAGCACUUUUGUCCGGAAAGAAAUCCUUGGCUCUAAUACAGUCGGGGGAUGACGGUACCGGAAGAAUAAGCACCGGCUAACUACGUGCCAGCAGCCGCGGUAAUACGUAGGGUGCAAGCGUUAAUCGGAAUUACUGGGCGUAAAGCGUGCGCAGGCGGUUUGCUAAGACCGAUGUGAAAUCCCCGGGCUCAACCUGGGAACUGCAUUGGUGACUGGCAGGCUAGAGUAUGGCAGAGGGGGGUAGAAUUCCACGUGUAGCAGUGAAAUGCGUAGAGAUGUGGAGGAAUACCGAUGGGCGAAGGCAGCCCCCUGGGCCAAUACUGACGCUCAUGCACGAAAGCGUGGGGAGCAAACAGGAUUAGAUACCCUGGUAGUCCACGCCCUAAACGAUGUCAACUAGUUGUUGGGGAUUCAUUUCCUUAGUAACGUAGCUAACGCGUGAAGUUGACCGCCUGGGGAGUACGGUCGCAAGAUUAAAACUUAAAUGAAUUGACGGGGUCAUAGCUG